GGGCAUUUGAAGUCGGGUACAGAGAAAGUUUGGAGCAGAAGAUCUGUCAAGAUGCCACACCAGUGAAUCCUGAAUUUACUGUAUCGCUGUCCUGGACUGCUACAUGGACAAACUCCAUCAACUAAGGAAAAAACCUCAAAGGACAAGGGAGGACAUGGACAAGGAUGUCUUGCAGCAUUCAAUGCUUCUGUGAUGGCGCAUAUCAACCCCACACUGAAGCUGAUGGAGUUACACUGGCCCAGCUGGCAGAGAGAGCCUCACCCCCACAGCCUUGCUGGGCAUGUUCCAACUGGAGACUGAAUAUAAAAGCCUCUGGAGCAAUCAAUCAGGACUGACUGCUGAAGGAGAAGGAGGCACGGAGAGAGCUCCAGAGGUGGAAGCGCAGCCAGACCACAGAGCUGCAGCCAGGUCAAGUGUGGCUACCAGAGAAACUGCAGACUGAGAGUGAGCAUAUGGAGAAGACAUCUGCCAGAUACCGGUAGGAAGUAGCCCAGCACAGGGAUUAGUUCCCAAAGUGAUUGGCAUUUUGCAGCAGGAUUCCCUGCUGAGUGAGUAGUGGACCUUGCCAGUGCCAGCAGGGCUCUGG